rnacentral:piRNA from 1 species
UAAUCUCUUGCGAAAGGACUAUGAUGCUG